UACGGGGGGUGCGAGCGUUGUCCGGAAUCACUGGGCGUAAAGGGCGCGUAGGUGGCGUCGUAAGUUUGUGGUGAAAGCCUGGGGCUCAACCCCAGGUCUGCCGCGAAUACUGCGAGGCUUGAGUACUGUAGAGGCAGGUAGAAUAUCGGGUGUAGCGGUGGAAUGCGUAGAGAUCCGAUAGGAGACCGGUGGCGAAGGCGGCCUGCUGGGCAGUAACUGACACUGAGGCGCGACAGCGUGGGGAGCAAACAGG
rnacentral:rRNA from 1 species